CAGUCGCCGCGGUAAUACGAACCGUGCGAACGUUAUUCGGAAUCACUGGGCUUAAAGCGCGUGUAGGCGGAUGGGAGCGUCGGCCUCUGAAAUCCCCCGGCUCAACCGGGGAAGUGGAGCCGAAACGACCCGUCUGGAGGGACGUAGGGGGACCUGGAACUUCCGGUGGAGCGGUGAAAUGCGUUGAGAUCGGAAGGAACGCCCGUGGCGAAAGCGAGGUCCUGGACGUCUGCUGACGCUGAGACGCGAAAGCCAGGGGAGCGAACGGGAUUAGAUACCCCCGUAGUCCCUGUCUCUUAUA
rnacentral:rRNA from 1 species